rnacentral:rRNA from 1 species
ACUCGAGUGGCGAACGGGUGAGUAACACGUGGGUGAUCUGCCUUGCACUUCGGGAUAAGCCUGGGAAACUGGGUCUAAUACCGGAUAGGACCAUGCUUUAGUGUGUGUGGUGGAAAGUUUUUCGGUGCAAGAUGAGCCCGCGGCCUAUCAGCUUGUUGGUGGGGUAAUGGCCUACCAAGGCGACGACGGGUAGCCGGCCUGAGAGGGUGUACGGCCACAUUGGGACCGAGACACGGCCCAG